rnacentral:miRNA from 1 species
GUGGAACUGUUUCAUUUACUCUCUCUCUCUCUCUCUCUCUCUCUCUCUCUAUAUAUAUAUAUAUAUAUAUAUAUAUAUAUAGAGAGAGAGAGAGAGAGAGAGAGAGAGAGAGUGUGUGUAAGAGAAAGA